rnacentral:misc_RNA from 1 species
GAUGAAGAACGUAGCGAAAUGCGAUAAGUAGUGUGAAUUGCAGAAUUCAGUGAAUCAUCGAAUCUUUGAACGCACAUUGCGCCCUUUGGUAUUCCAAAGGGCAUGCCUGUUCGAGCGUCAUUUGUACCCUCAAGCUUUGCUUGGUGUUGGGCGUCUUGUCUCUAGCUUUGCUGGAGACUCGCCUUAAAGUAAUUGGCAGCCGGCCUACUGGUUUCGGAGCGCAGCACAAGUCGCACUCUCUAUCAGCAAAGGUCUAGCAUCCAUUAAGCCUUUUUUUCAACUUUUGACCUCGGAUCAGGUAGGGAUACCCGCUGAACUUAAGCAUAUCAAUAAGCGGGA